rnacentral:rRNA from 1 species
GCAAUGGGAUGCGAAUCUCGAAAGCCUGUCUCAGUUCGGAUUGGAGGCUGAAACCCGCCUCCAUGAAGUUGGAUUCGCUAGUAAUCGCGCAUCAGCCAUGGCGCGGUGAAUACGUUCCCGGGCCUUGUACACACCGCCCGUCAAGCCAUGGGAGCCGGGGGUGCCUGAAGUUCGUGACCGCAAGGAGCGACCUAGGGCAAAACUGGUGACUGGGGCUAAGUCGUAACAAGGUAAC